GAGAGUUAAACAGUACGUGAAAUUGUUGAAAGGGAAACGAUUGAAGUCAGUCGUGCUGGCGCGAAAUCAGCUUGACCACUAGGGGAUCACGGGCCGUAGCGAGCCUCAAAACCGUUACGACUUGUGAUUGCUUAGUGGCCUGGUGCACUUUCGUGUCGGCUGGUUAACAUCAAUUUCGAUCGUCAUAAAAAGGCUGGAGGGAUGUGGCUCCUUCGGGAGUGUUAUAACCUUUGGCGGAAUGUGGUGGUCGGGAUUGAGGUUUGCAACGAAUACCUUCAGGGCUGUUCCACCUGGCCUCUCAUCGGCAUCCUGGCGACGACAGCUUGCUGACGUUGUUAGGACCAGCUUUCGAACAGGCUAGAGUGUGAGCAAAUUCGUUAAGGAUGUUAACGUAAUGGCUUUAAACGA
rnacentral:rRNA from 1 species